UUGAUUUUUGUAGAGCAAUUUUUCUCUCAUCCCUCCCAUGCUUCCCAUUUCCUUUCCAUCCGUUCAGAAACUUUUCCCUUUUCAUAUCUUUUGGCCCUGGUCUUUUGUUAUUUUUGUAGGGAAACCUUUUUCAUCCAAUGGUUAAAUUAAAAAAAUAAUAAUUUGAAAACCAUAAUUUAUGGAAGGGAUUAGUCUGUUUUCAUUUCUAGUUCCAAUGUGAGGACCUCAGGUCCCGCAUAUGUUUCCUUGUAUAGAAGCUUUGAAGAUAGCAGGUACACAAAAGUAGGCUCUGCUUAUUUUUUUCUUAAAGCAAGAUUGCAGCCAGUGACCUUUUUGAUAUAUUGUUUUUAUUAUUAUUCACUCUAUUUUUAAUAUUUCUGACAGAUCUUUUGUGAUCAUUUACAAGAUAGGAGCAAUAUUGGAAGGUAGGGGUUAUUUUUUUCCAGUUGAGGUUUUAGGCCAGAAUGCCCAUAAGCUGAGCCAUCAGAUAUAUCUCUUUCUUCUAAUGCAACAACUAAGGUUAGAAAUUUCCACAACCAAUGAACAUACUCUUCAGAGAGAAGCAAUUAUUUAGAGUGACUACUAUGGAAAGGUGGCUGAAGUACUGAUUCUUGCUGGAGUAUGUGGAACUGAUCCUUUCCACUGAAUGGAUUACUUUUGAACCUGUUGGAGGCAAUUGGAUUUGUUGGUACGCAAAACUUUCCAAAUGAUGGGCUUAUUGAUGGUAAUGUCAGACAAAAUCAGGAAGAGACAGGGAUUUUUUGAAUUUGUUUUUGGUGCCAAAUUCCAGAUUUUUGAAUUUGGAAGUUUCUAGAAGACCAAUGAGAUGUUGCCAAGUGUCCACUUAACCUUGGCCUAUAAAUAGGAACUUGAAUUUCUUAGUGAGGACUUUUGACACUUGAUUUUGAAAUUUUCUAAAAACUCUUUCUUUUUCAAUAGAAUUCCCUAUUUUCUUUCAUUUUUCCUCAUUUUCUUGGUAUCCAAACAUGUCUCGUGAGACCAAAUCUUCAAGUAUGAGUGACUAAAUGUCGUUUUUCUUGAAGGAAGGAAGAUUUAGAGGUAAGAUUUAUAGUGAAUUAGAGAAAUGAAG